UAUUUAUUUAUUUAUUUAGAGGAAGGGUCUUACUCUGUCACCCAGGCUGUGGUGUAGUUGUGUGAUCACAGUUCACUACAGGCUUGACCUCCUGGGCUUAGGUGAUCCUCCCACCCUAGCCUCUCAUGUAGCUGGGCCUAUAGGUAUGUGCCACCUCACCUCCUUUUCUUUUCUUUUCUUUUUCUUUUUCUUUUUUGGAGAGAGAGAGUCUUCUUAUGUUGCCAUUUUGAACUCUUGCACUCAAAUGAUCCUCCUGCCUUGGCCUUCCAAAGUGCUGGGAUUACAGGUGUGAGCCACUGUGCCCUGCCCAAGCACCUCUGCUCCGUGCCAUGCUCUUGGCUAAUUGAAGUUGUGAAAGGCAUGAGGAUUCUGGUCAUGGACUCAGCUCUCCCACAGGGGUCUGACACCAAAGUAAUGGUCACAACAAUGAAAGGAAGAAUCCAUCUGGCCAGGCUCAGGUGGUUCAAGGCCUUCAGAAUCUGCCUUGAGACUCUCCAGUGACAGUCUUUAGACUGAAAACCAUCUUGGCCCCCAUCCAUCCCUGUAAGCAAUUUAACAACAGCUUGCAAAGCACCGAGCUUUAACAGAAAGAAGAGAUGAGCACAGCACAAGAACUUGGACUCCAGAAGAGCUGCCUAACAGAUUAUUUUUCUGUGGUAUUUCAUGAGAACAAACAAAGAGACAGAAGAAGAUGCAGACCCAGAAGAGAUUAAGUAAAGAUGGAAGCAGAGACUGGAGUGAGGCUGCCACAGGCCAAAGAAUACCUGGUGCCAGCAGAAUCUGGAAGAGGCAAGGAAGGACACUUCCCUGGGGCUUUCGGACGGAGCACAGCCCUGCUGAUGCCUUGGUGUUGGACAUCUGGGCUAUGGGACUAUGAGAACCUUCUGUUGUUUUAAGCCACCCAGUUUGUGGUACUCUGUUAUGGCUGCCACAGGAAACUAAUACACCCUUUACCACCUGAGUGACCUUGGCCAGCUUACUUAACUUCCACGAAUCAGUCCCCUCAAAGGAACACCCUCCCCCCAGGCUCACUGUGAUGAUAAAAUACUUUGGCAUAGGUGACUAGUUUAGACCAGGGCCUGCUACCUAGCACGUGCUAUGCCAGUGUUUCUAUCAUGGCAAGAGCAGAUGCAGCGGAGCUUAGAUUUCAACUGUGUCCAUGCUGGUUAGAAAAGUCACAGUCUGGGACACGGGACACUUCAGGAAGAAUCUCCCUCACUGGAUCCCAGUGUUCCAGCAAUGUUUUCCAAGCAGCUGAAGAACAGGAAGCAGGAACAGGGUUCCCUACAAGAGCCAUUAUUCAGAUGCCUCUACAUCUGACUGGUGUUGGAGAAGUGUGACUUCUGGAGGUUUAUGUGCUGGGACUUUAACAGCAUACAUACUAAAAACAACAUUUAUUUUCCUCAGAUGCUGGGCUCUCUAUGAGCCUUGACCUCCCUGAGAAGAUUAGAGGCAGGUGCCUAAUCUGAUCGGUCAACUCAGUGAAACAACUGCAUUGAUUAAAGCCAUAAGAUGUUAGGAUUCUCUGCUCUUGGUGGCCUAAAAGGUCCCAUUCCUUUCCCAAAGUGCUUAGCUUGAUCCCAUCCCAGGGAACAAUUUUGGGUGGACGAGAACCUGGCCACAGAGCAUGAGAUCAUGUAUGACUAAGUCUACUUGCCUUCAUGGAAAGAUACAUGGAGUUUUGGGCAAUUUCUUUGAACCCCUCUAGAGGCUUCUAAAGAUUGUUUAGCACCAUCUGGUUUUUAAUCCUGGAUGCCAAACUUGUUGAUUUUUGCCCUGGACCAUCUGUUUUUCAACUUCCCAUGGAACCUUUCUUUGGGCCAAGUAGGGAAAGAAAUAACUAUAUUUUUAAUUAUUUUUGUUUUGCCUUCUCAUCCCAGUCACAGCAUUAGAAAGGGAAAAUCAACUGUCUGACAAAGCUCUGAAAGAUUGGACAUGAAGUGCUGGCCUUGCUAUCUGCAGGGCAUCUCCCUAUAUAGAUUGGAUACCUUUUCCUUCACUCCCUGAUAAAAAGUGAGACAGACUGAGCAUAGUCUUGUGACCAUUUAAUGCCUGUGCCCAGAAUACGGGUCUGUACCACUUACAGCAGUCACAGUGGGGAGGAGCAGGGACCCUGGGGUCUCCGGCCUGUGUCUGAAUUCCAGCUGAGCCCACUCCUAGACCAGUGCCUGGGAAAGCUAUCUGACCUCUGAGAUCCAGUCUACUAGCCUCACAAGUGAGAUUGUGACAACACUUACCUCAAUGAGGCAUUGGACAUCAUCUCAUUUAAUCCUCAACGUGCCUCAGUGUCUAGCAUUUAACAAGCUCCCAUAAACAUUAGUUAUUAUUAUUCCUUAAUAUGAAUAGCAUUUAAAAUAAUAAAGUGGGAGAGAGCAAUGCUGCGUGCCCUACCACUGGCCAGAGAGCUUGCAGCAGGAAGAAUGCUUAGGUGGAACGCACAGGCCUUUUCUGAGUUCAUCCCAUUCCAAAGGAUUUGGUGUUGCCAUAUAUGGAACAUUAAGAUUAGAAAUGGCCAUUUCCAAACUGGUGAAUCCCUUGGUGCCUUUUUCUCCACUGUGAUUCAUCUGGGGUACCCUCAGUUUUCAGUGGUCACAGUCAUUCCAAACCAACCAUGAGCUGGGGGAACAUUGUACUGUGGUAAACCCAGGGUCACCUGACCAGAGCUCCAAUUUUAUAAACCCAAGUUGUAGGUGGAAUGAUGGAUGCGGGCUUCUCUGGCAAAUGCUUCCUGAGCAUUAUGGACACUGUCACUUCUAGGGGGCUGCAGUUGCCUCAUUGUAUAAUUUGGGUCAUCAGAAAGGAGGCAGUCAUGGAUGAGCUGCCCUUCUGGACAAAAUGACAUCUCUCUUAUUGAAAAAGGUUAAGAGGCUACUUUCUUUCCCCCCCGCCUCACAACCACUAUUUAUUGCAUGAGAUUUCAGAAUGAUGAUGAUAAAAAAGCAAGUUUAUAGACACAUCAUGAGGUUGUAUGAAUAAAAUAAAGUAAUAUCUGGGACAGAUAUAUCAAAGAAAAUUGAACCCAAAAUGUCUAACUUUGCAGUCCAUACUCAGCCAGAACUCCCAAUGAAUUAAAACACAGACUGCAUAAUUAUGUACACAAAAUGCCUUUAAAGUUGCUCCAUAAAUUUGAAGAAAAAAGGAUAGUCUGUUUAAAGCUACUAGGGCAAAAUUCCUUACUGUGGGUUUAUAGGCACUAGUACAAGUGGUUCCCAAAUCCCCCUUUUUAUUUUUUAAUUAUAAAUAAGAAAGAACAGAGUCUCCCCUUGCAACUUCCACUUCAUCGCAGCCUCCAGGCACAGAGGACAGAGUUCCUGGAAAAAAGGAAGGCUUAAUUCCAGGUCUCUAAUAGCAAAUUAUAGUCAGACUGAACAUUGAUUAUAUUUAAAUCUACCAUAUUUUUCUUUUGAAAACCAUAUAUUAUUUAACAUCUUGAAUGUUUUACAUUGAAUUUGUUGAAAAAUUCUCCCUGUGUUUUCAGGCCUUUAUCAUAAUUUUGUUUUUAUUUCUUAAUUUUUCUUUUCAAAUAAGUGAGAGAAUUAAGUUAAAUGAGCAAUAAUAUGUAAGUCAUUCAGUUAAUAUAGAAAUUUUGGGCCAGCCAUGGAGUCUUAUGGCUGUAAUCUCAGCAUUUUGGGAGGCCGAGGCAGACAGAUCAC